rnacentral:rRNA from 1 species
CGCCUCUUGAAACUACAUAAGAGGUCCAGCCUGCCCAGUGACUAAGUUCAACGGCCGCGGUAUCCUAACCGUGCGAAGGUAGCGUAAUCACUUGUUCUUUAAAUGAGGACUAGUAUGAAUGGCAUCACGAGGGUUAUGCUGUCUCCUUUUUCUAAUCAAUGAAACUGAUCCCCCCGUGAAGAAGCGGGGAUAUAUUUAUAAGACGAGAAGACCCUAUGGAGCUUUAAACCAUGUAACACUGGCUUUCACAUUAAAAUAUUCCAGAAUUUUCAUAGUUACUCUAGCCAUUAUGAUUACUAGUUUUAGGUUGGGGUGACCACGGAGCAAAAAUUAACCUCCAUGUUGAAAGGAGCUACUCCUGAGCCAAAGGCCACAACUUUAAGCACUAAUAAAUUAACAUUAAUUGACCCAAUAUUUUUGAUCAACGAACCAAGUUACCCUAGGGAUAACAGCGCA